CGGGGCGUAGCGCAGUCUGGUAGCGCACCACACUGGGGGUGUGGUGGUC
rnacentral:tRNA from 1 species